GACGAACGCUGGCGGCGUGCUUAACACAUGCAAGUCGAACGAAGUGGCGAACGGGUGAGUAACGCGUAAUCAACCUGCCCUUCAUAGGGGGAAAACAGUUGGAAACGAAUGCUAAUACCGCAUACUGAAUGAGGGGAUGGCGUUUGAUUAGCUCGUUGGAGGGGUAACGGCCCACCAAGGCGAUGAUCAGUAGCCGGGCUGAGAGGAUGAACGGCCAAAUUGGGACUGAGACACGGCCCAGACUCCGACGGGAGGCAGCAGUGGGGAAUCUUCCGGCAUGGACGAAAGGCUGACGGAGCAACGCCGCGGGAGUGAUGACGGCCUUCGGGUUGGAAAGCUCUGUUAAUCGGGACGCGGUACCGGAAUAGAAAGCCACGGCUAACUACGUGCCAGCAGCCGCGGUAAUUC
rnacentral:rRNA from 1 species